GAUUAAAUGGCUGAAUAAGGCGGUAAAUUGUAAAUUUAUUUAUGAAAUAAUUUUCUUUAAUCA
rnacentral:tRNA from 1 species